rnacentral:rRNA from 1 species
ACCCUGGUGGCGAGUGGCGAACGGGUGAGUAAUACAUCGGAACGUGUCCUGUAGUGGGGGAUAGCCCGGCGAAAGCCGGAUUAAUACCGCAUACGCUCUACGGAGGAAAGGGGGGGAUCUUAGGACCUCCCGCUACAGGGGCGGCCGAUGGCAGAUUAGCUAGUUGGUGGGGUAAAGGCCUACCAAGGCGACGAUCUGUAGCUGGUCUGAGAGGACGACCAGCCACACUGGGACUGAGACACGGCCCAGACUCCUACGGGAGGCAGCAGUGGGGAAUUUUGGACAAUGGGGGCAACCCUGAUCCAGCAAUGCCGCGUGUGUGAAGAAGGCCUUCGGGUUGUAAAGCACUUUUGUCCGGAAAGAAAACGCCGUGGUUAAUACCCGUGGCGGAUGACGGUACCGGAAGAAUAAGCACCGGCUAACUACGUGCCAGCAGCCGCGGUAAUACGUAGGGUGCAAGCGUUAAUCGGAAUUACUGGGCGUAAAGCGUGCGCAGGCGGUCCGCUAAGACAGAUGUGAAAUCCCCGGGCUUAACCUGGGAACUGCAUUUGUGACUGGCGGGCUAGAGUAUGGCAGAGGGGGGUAGAAUUCCACGUGUAGCAGUGAAAUGCGUAGAGAUGUGGAGGAAUACCGAUGGCGAAGGCAGCCCCCUGGGCCAAUACUGACGCUCAUGCACGAAAGCGUGGGGAGCAAACAGGAUUAGAUACCC